AGUGUUGUUGGGUAGGGGAGCGUUCUGUAAGCCUGCGAAGGUGUACUGUGAGGUAUGCUGGAGGUAUCAGAAGUGCGAAUGCUGACAUAAGUAACGAUAAUGCGGGUGAAAAACCCGCACGCCGGAAGACCAAGGGUUCCUGUCCAACGUUAAUCGGGGCAGGGUGAGUCGACCCCUAAGGCGAGGCUGAAAAGCGUAGUCGAUGGGAAACGGGUUAAUAUUCCCGUACUGGUGGUAACUGCGAUGGGGGAACGGAGAAGGCUAGGUUGUCCGGGCGACGGUCGUCCCGGUUCAAGCAGGUAGGCAGAGUGAUUAGGCAAAUCCGGUCACUUAAUGCUGAGAUGUGAUGACGAACCACCAAGGUGGUGAAGCAAUUGAUGCCCCGCUUCCAGGAAAAGCCUCUAAGCUUCAGGUUACCAACAAUCGUACCCCAAACCGACACAGGUGGUCAGGUAGAGAAUACUCAGGCGCUUGAGAGAACUCGGGUGAAGGAACUAGGCAAAAUGGUGCCGUAACUUCGGGAGAAGGCACGCUGGCGGUAGGUAAAGUCCCUUGCGGACGGCGCUGAAGCCAGUCGAAGAUACCAGCUGGCUGCAACUGUUUAUUAAAAACACAGCACUGUGCAAACACGAAAGUGGACGUAUACGGUGUGACGCCUGCCCGGUGCUGGAAGGUUAAUUGAUGGGGUUAGCGCAAGCGAAGCUCCUGAUCGAAGCCCCAGUAAACGGCGGCCGUAACUAUAACGGUCCUAAGGUAGCGAAAUUCCUUGUCGGGUAAGUUCCGACCUGCACGAAUGGCGUAAUGAUGGCCAGGCUGUCUCCACCCGAGACUCAGUGAAAUUGAACUCGCUGUGAAGAUGCAGUGUACCCGCGGCAAGACGGAAAGACCCCGUGAACCUUUACUAUAGCUUGACACUGAACAUUGAGCCUUGAUGUGUAGGAUAGGUGGGAGGCUUUGAAGUGUGGACGCCAGUCUGCAUGGAGCCAACCUUGAAAUACCACCCUUUAACGUUUGAUGUUCUAACCUAGGCCCAUAAACUGGGUCGGGGACCGUGUCUGGUGGGUAGUUUGACUGGGGCGGUCUCCUCCUAAAGAGUAACGGAGGAGCACGAAGGUUGGCUAAGCAUGGUCGGACAUCAUGCGGUUAGUGCAAAGGCAUAAGCCAGCUUGACUGCGAGAGUGACGGCUCGAGCAGGUACGAAAGUAGGUCUUAGUGAUCCGGUGGUUCUGAAUGGAAGGGCCAUCGCUCAACGGAUAAAAGGUACUCCGGGGAUAACAGGCUGAUACCGCCCAAGAGUUCAUAUCGACGGCGGUGUUUGGCACCUCGAUGUCGGCUCAUCACAUCCUGGGGCUGAAGUAGGUCCCAAGGGUAUGGCUGUUCGCCAUUUAAAGUGGUACGCGAGCUGGGUUUAGAACGUCGUGAGACAGUUCGGUCCCUAUCUGCCGUGGGCGUUGGAAGAUUGAGAGGGGUUGCUCCUAGUACGAGAGGACCGGAGUGAACGCACCACUGGUGUUCGGGUUGUCAUGCCAAUGGCAUUGCCCGGUAGCUAAGUGCGGAAGAGAUAACCGCUGAAAGCAUCUAAGCGGGAAACUUGCCUCGAGAUGAGUCUUCCCUGUCGCUUUAAGCGACCUAAAGGAACGUUUAAGACUAAGACGUUGAUAGGCUGGGUGUGUAAGCGUAGCGAUACGUUGAGCUAACCAGUACUAAUGAACCGUGAGGCUUAACCUG
rnacentral:rRNA from 1 species